UGGAGAGUUGGACUGCUCUAGAGCCCAUAUUCGCUUAAGGGAGCCCGGCAAGUCAGAGGACAAGGUCGAGUAAGCGAACGUUGCUACCAAGGAAGCUAAGGAGAACAGAAUCGGUGCAAAUCCUACAACGUGAUGGCAGAGGCCAUGCAUGGGAGUUGCAGUCUGUCUUUCCAUCGACCAAAGGGAGCUGCUUGGAUAACACAAAGGUGUUGAAG
rnacentral:lncRNA from 1 species